GUUUGGGAAUAUACACCACAUGAGUAGAAAAGAAAGGCAGAAGGGGUCAAAGAAGUGAUGGUGGAAGACGAGGCCUGAGAGAUAGGAGGCAUGAAAAGGACUGGAUCCACUGUUUCUGGCUUUGAAGAUGGAGGCCUGGAGAAUUCUGUCUUCAGGACAGAGCUUCGAACAGGAACAGAAACUAUAGAAGAGGAGAAGGGAGGACAGAAAGGAAUAGGAUUGAGGAAGGUAAGAUAUGGGCUGCUAAUCCCUUAAAAAUUCAUGGACAGGCACUUUUCUAGGUUCUCCAUAAUAAGUGAGCAAGACAGACAAGGCCAAAGAAUGCACAUGGCCUCUAGAAGCUGGCAGUGACC
ensembl:lncRNA